AGUUGCUUCCUGGGUGCUUACCACUGGUCGGUUUGCGGGCAGUCCGCUUUGUAGGAGCCGUGGUACAGAGACCUCCUUACUUACCCCCCUUCUCCUUCGGCUGGAGCUCGGCGAGCGAGAGGCGGCGCUGGCGUUGGAGAGCGACGGCGGCGCGGCGGCGCCUGCGAACACCAGGGAAGCAGCCUCUAACGUUUGAGGGUCAAUCCAGAUGGAGAGAAGAUAGAGGAGAAAGAGCCGAAUGUGACCCAACCAUAGGUCAUCUCUUGCAACAUGGCACAUGCUGAAUAUUUAGCCCAGCAUUAGGAAGACAUGGAUCCAAAAGUAUUGAAAAAAUGACCAGUGUGUGUAAAGGAGACUCCGAGAUUGACUACCAGACUUCUAGAAUGAUGUAACCAUACCUACAUAGAUUGGCUCAACAUAGGCAAACAUUAUUGGAGUCAUGGACAAGCACAGUGCAUACAACAUUUUGAAAAUUGAGGCCAGACGCUCCCUAUCAUCUCAGCAAAGACACUAAUUCAGCAGAGCUGGCCAGCGAAUCUUCGACAGGAAUUGAGGAUCUGAGCAACUGGGAAAAAAGGGAUGAAUGGACAUACAAAUAAGAGGAGAAGGAAAGGGGAAAGAGAUGAAGGAAGAGGAGAAGGAAAGGGGAAAGAGAUGAAGGAAGAAAAGAAGGAAAGAAGAAAGGAAGGAAGGAAAACAGAAAGGAAGGAAAGAAGGAGAGCAAAAUAUUUUCUGGUCCCAUUUAUUCCACAUGGAACCUAGUGACUACAAAGAAGAAGAUGACCACCCACCCUGCUGCCCCUUCUCCAGCAGAAGAUGAACUUUGAAGAGAUUCCCAGAAGUCUCCAGAGAAGGACAGGCCGGAGGAUACAGAGGUUUCUCUUUGCACAAUCAGGGCAAUCAUUUGGAGGAGUGGAACCUGGGGGUCACCUGUCAGGCUCCAGCACUGAACUAGAAUUUCAACCCAGUUGGAAAUAUUUGAUCUCCGCUUCCACAAGAAAAAGAACAAUUAAAGCCAGGGGUAGAAAUGAGAAACACCUCCAGGGCUUCUUUGGUCCCUUGAAAUACUUGGUUUCUGCAUUCCAAGACUAUGGUUAGACGAGUCAUCUUUCUCAUACUAAGCUACCAAGCAGCAGCUGCCUAGAGACAGCUUUGAGAUCUGGCCCCCAUUCAAUGAUUGUGACAUUCAGAGAUGACUGUUUCAGGGACCAGAGAAGAUGACAGCUUUCCUCCUCUGUCUUCAGAGAAAGCAACAGGCAGCUGGAUACACAACACUGGUUUCUAGCUAUUUUUCCUGCGUAUGUCUGUGCAUGCAUACAUGUGUAUUUGACAUAACUAAGGGCAAGGUCACGUUUUCAUUUUCUUUUUCUUGUUGCCCAGUGAGCCACACUCCUUCUCCCGAACUCUCAAGCCCCUAGCCACAACCCAGCCUUGUAAGUGGAAAUGCUAUGAAUUUACGGUGAGGGAUUUUGAUCAAUUUCUUUUCCUUUCCCCUGGUUGUUCUCUUAUUGCCCUGAGAGGUAAGGCAAUAAGGCAACUCAAUACCAAUAUGGAUGACUUAUUGCCUUUUCCUAAACCUGAGAUUUUCACAUGGCAAGAAUCAUUUCUGAUUGCUUCUUGAGUGGGGUUCUGACAGUCCAGGGCUGGUGGGUGUCAAUCUGGUUUGACCAUAAGAACAGGACCAAAAACCUUGGAAAUCAAUCAUUUCUGAGAAACCAAAUGGUUCUCUUAUCCCAGUUCUCAUCAGUGAAAAGACACUGAAGGGAGUUGAAAUAAAUAUUAUUUGUUACUAAUGGUAAUAAACCCUGGUAGUUUAAUGUAUUUAGUUUUAAAUCUGUUCUAAUUGAUAUUUAGGAAGCUGCAUUUGAGAUUCAGCCUCUUGACAAGAUCACAGUGCUGCAGGAUUAAGAGUCAGAUGCGUGUUGUAAAUGCUGUGGAGACAGGCUGGGAUUACCAAAAUAAGAUGCAAAGUAU
rnacentral:lncRNA from 1 species